rnacentral:rRNA from 1 species
GGAUCAGUGGCGAACGGGUGAGUAACACGUGAGCAACCUGCCCCUGACUCUGGGAUAAGCGCUGGAAACGGCGUCUAAUACUGGAUACGAACCACGAAGGCAUCUUCAGUGGUUGGAAAGAAUUUCGGUUGGGGAUGGGCUCGCGGCCUAUCAGCUUGUUGGUGAGGUAAUGGCUCACCAAGGCGUCGACGGGUAGCCGGCCUGAGAGGGUGACCGGCCACACUGGGACUGAGACACGGCCCAGACUCCUACGGGAGGCAGCAGUGGGGAAUAUUGCACAAUGGGCGCAAGCCUGAUGCAGCAACGCCGCGUGAGGGAUGACGGCCUUCGGGUUGUAAACCUCUUUUAGCAGGGAAGAAGCGAAA